GAUGAACGCUGGCGGCGUGCCUAAUACAUGCAAGUCGAGCGAAUGGAUUAAGAGCUUGCUCUUAUGAAGUUAGCGGCGGACGGGUGAGUAACACGUGGGUAACCUGCCCAUAAGACUGGGAUAACUCCGGGAAACCGGGGCUAAUACCGGAUAACAUUUUGAACCGCAUGGUUCGAAAUUGAAAGGCGGCUUCGGCUGUCACUUAUGGAUGGACCCGCGUCGCAUUAGCUAGUUGGUGAGGUAACGGCUCACCAAGGCAACGCUGCGUAGCCGACCUGAGAGGGUGAUCGGUCACACUGGGACUGAGACACGGCCCAGACUCCUACGGGAGGCAGCAGUAGGGAAUCUUCCGCAAUGGACGAAAGUCUGACGGAGCAACGCCGCGUGAGUGAGGAAGGCUUUCGGGUCGUAAAACUCUGUUGUUAGGGAAGAACAAGUGCUAGUUGAAUAAGCUGGCACCUUGACGGUACCUAACCAGAAAGCCACGGCUAACUACGUGCCAGCCGCCGCAGUAA
rnacentral:rRNA from 1 species